AUGAUGAUCUUCAUAAUUGAUUACGCAAAUAUAUUUGUUAUACUGUGUAGCAACUGGAUUGUUGAUAAAAAAAAAGCGCUUGGAAGAAUUGUUCUCUAUAUGUUAUACCUGGGUAAAGGAUUUGAGUUACAUGUUAUGAGAUAUAAAAUUAAACAAUACAAGGUGGAUGUUUUUAUUUUUCAUUUUUUUGGAGUUCAGAUUAAGAUUCAAUUACAUAUGGGAAUAAAUAAAAACAUACAUUUAUUGCACCUAGUUAAAAUCUUUAAACGAGGAUGAGUUUCAAACAACAACAGUUGUGUAAAUUAAUGGUAUUGUAAUUAAAAUUAAUGUAUUUAGUUUAUUAAACAAUAAGUUUACGAACUUCGCUUUUGUUGAUGAAGCUGUCAAUCUGAAAUCUGAAGAUUUUAAUUUUUGAUACGUUCAAUGAAUAUUGCUACAGUAAUAGAGCUAAGACAAUAAGGGUAGUGUUACAUUUGAUUCUAUUAUGUGUUUUGGGGGGUUCAGAGUUGUAUGAAGCAUUGAACAAAUGUGUUUUAUGCUGAAUGCGUUUAAAGCAUACAAAAUAAUGAAAUAUAUCGAAGUUGUUUGUACUCACAGA